rnacentral:rRNA from 1 species
UACGUAGGGUGCAAGCGUUGUCCGGAAUUAUUGAGCGUAAAGAGCUCGUAGGUGGCCUGUCGCGUCGGCUGUGAAAACUCGGGGCUCAACUCCGAGCUUGCAGUCGAUACGGGCAGGCUAGAGUUCGGCAGGGGAGACUGGAAUUCCUGGUGUAGCGGUGAAAUGCGCAGAUAUCAGGAGGAACACCGAUGGCGAAGGCAGGUCUCUGGGCUGACACUGACGCUCAUGCACGAAAGCGUGGGGAGCAAACAGG